ensembl:lncRNA
CUUAAGCCUUAAGCCCUUGUGUCUAGUGUCGGCUGUUAAAUGUCAUCCUUGAGUUCCUGUGUUUAUAUAUCUUUGCUUGCUGUAUUAAAGUCUCAAUCGAAGUAUUCACCUGCAUCUCCUCCUUCCUUCCCAGAGUGAUUGUGACAGAACAGCUGACCGUGACAGAAUGAGCGAUGUUCAACGCCAUGGCUCAGGCAAGCCACAACCCUAUCAUCUACGCGAGGGCGUUUGUGCCACUUGCCCUCACCAGCUCCCUCGAUGGGGAAACCCUCUUGACUCUGUUCUGGCUCUGGAUAACAUACCAUCUCUCCAUGGAGCUCCCAGACACCACCAACCUCGACUGGAAGGAGGUGGUUAACCGGUGUUAGGAGAGUCUCUGAUCCCGAUCCGGAACCCCUCCACUGGCCAUUCCACAGUCAAGCCUGCCAGCCGCAGCAUUCUCAAUCCCGCCGGCCGUUCCCGAGUCAAGUCUGCUGGUCGUUCCUCAGUGAAGCCUGCCGGCAGUGCAGAUGUCAAGCCCGCCGGCCGUGGCUCACACAAGCCCUCAGCCGAUAGGCAACUUCCUACCUCACCACCAAUCAAACAAGAAACCUGAGAAGGAAAAGGCUGUCGGCUCCAUCCCCAGAGCUCGCUCCAGUGUUGGCUCCAGCCCCAGAGCUCGCUCCAGUGUCAGCUUCUAUCCCCGAGUUUAGCCCAGAGAGGGCUCCAGUCCCCAAAUUUAGCCCAGAGAGGACUCCCGUCCCCAAGUUAAGCCCAGAGAGGGCUCCAGUCCCCGAGUUUAGCCCAGUGAGGGCUCCUGUCCCCGAAUUUAGCCCAGAGAGGGCUCCUGUCCCCGAAUUUAGCCCAGAGAAGGCUCUAGUCCCUGAGUUUAUCCCAGGGAGGGUCACUGUUCCUGAGUUAGGCAUAUGGAGGCCCUUUAAAGAUGAAAUUCUCCAUAGCUUCUUAAUCUGCCUGCUCCGCCAUGGCCUCCUGAACUGCCUGCUCCGCCAUGACUUCUUAGUCUGCCUGCUCCGCCAUAGCUUCUUAGCCUGCCUGAUCCGCCUUUUGAUCACUGGACAGCCUGAUCCACCAUGGCUCCUGGGACUGCCUGUCCCUCCAUGGCUCCUUGAGCUCCCUGAUCUGCCAUGGAUCCCUCCUGUGUCUCCGUCCUGUACUAGCCUCCAGGGCGCCCCCACCUCUCCCCGUUUUAUGGCGCGGGAUGCGCACUCUGGGAGGGGGAGUUAUGUCAGUGUUGUGGACUUGUGUUUCCUUGUUUUAGCCCUGUCUUAGUUCCUUUUUCCUUUUUUUUGGUCAUGUUUCCUGUUCAUGUCCUCAUUAUGUUUAUUUGGAUCCAGCUGUGUUUUCCAUGUUCAUUAUUUCCAGGUGUUCCCUCAUUAGUUUCCUUGUCUAUUUAAGCCUUGUGUUUCCCUGUGUCUAGCGUCAGCUGUUAAAUGUCAUCCAUGAGUUCCUGUGUUUGUAUAACUUUGCUUUUUGGAUUAAAGUCUCA